rnacentral:rRNA from 1 species
AUGCCAGGAACUCAUAAUGACGUCAAUGUACUGCAGUGCUCCCCUGUCUUUACUAAGCUUGUUGAAGGUCAUGCUCCUCCGGUGAAUUUCGAGGUCAAUGGGCGCCACUACAACAAGGGAUACUACCUCGCAGAUGGCAUCUAUUUGAUAUGGUCCACAUUUUUGAAGACUAUCUCAAACCCUAUGCCAGGAGGCAAGAACUCCUACUUUGCCAAGUGUCAGGCGGCUUGCAGGAAGGAUGUCGAGUGGGCAUUUGGUGUGCUCCAAUCUCGAUAUGCUGUUGUCUGGUACCCCGCUCAGACCUGGUCGAAAGAUAAAUGUGGGAGGUCAUGA